rnacentral:lncRNA from 1 species
AUAACCAAAAGGAUCCAAUGACAGACAAGUUUCUAGGGUGGACUUAAUUACCUCUAAUCCAUCUCCUCUGCAUUGGCACAGAGUCCUUGGGGAAGUGCCCCCCCCCACCUUUUAAAUCACCAGAAGCAUGCAGCAAAGAGGACAAAUUGCAAGUCAUCCCCAAAGGUUGACAGCCCGUGAGGUUUGACCAAGACAGAGAGGGGCUGUGAAGAUACUCAAGGAACACCUCCAUCACCAUAAACCCUCGUCUCCCAGGGUCCUUCUACCUACCAAGCCAUGCUGGUAACUGAAUGUAUUAUUUUACAUAGCUAACAAACCCAGAAACCAAUCAAGAUUCCUACCAUUCACUCCAUCAUCUAAAUCCAUCUGUCCAGCUUGCAUGGGUUGGAUUUGGUUCAAGUGUUUCUUCAAAGGUUCAUUGAAGCCUGGUCUACAGUAUAUCAUUGAUAGGUUGUGCUAGCGGAGAGGUCUACGAAACUGUUUUGUUUAUUUUACCAAAAGACAUUUGGGGAA